rnacentral:rRNA from 1 species
AUUGAACGCUGGCGGCAGGCCUAACACAUGCAAGUCGAGCGGAUGAAGGGAGCUUGCUCCUGGAUUCAGCGGCGGACGGGUGAGUAAUGCCUAGGAAUCUGCCUGGUAGUGGGGGAUAACGUCCGGAAACGGGCGCUAAUACCGCAUACGUCCUGAGGGAGAAAGUGGGGGAUCUUCGGACCUCACGCUAUCAGAUGAGCCUAGGUCGGAUUAGCUAGUUGGUGGGGUAAAGGCCUACCAAGGCGACGAUCCGUAACUGGUCUGAGAGGAUGAUCAGUCAAACUUGAAACGAGACAACGUCCAGACUCCUACGGGAGGCAGCCGUGGGGAAAUUUGGACAAUGGGCGGAAGCCUGAUUCAGCCAUGCCGCGUGUGUGAAGAAGGUCUUCGGAUUGUAAAGCACUUUAAGUUGGGAGGAAGGGCAGUAAGUUAAUACCUUGCUGUUUUGACGUUACCAACAGAAUAAGCACCGGCUAACUUCGUG